GUAGGGUGCAAGCGUUAAUCGGAAUUACUGGGCGUAAAGCGUGCGCAGGCGGUUUUGUAAGACAGUGGUGAAAUCCCCGGGCUCAACCUGGGAACUGCCAUUGUGACUGCAAGGCUGGAGUGCGGCAGAGGGGGAUGGAAUUCCGCGUGUAGCAGUGAAACGCGUAGAUAUGCGGAGGAACACCGAUGGCGAAGGCAAUCCCCUGGGCCUGCACUGACGCUCAUGCACGAAAGCGUGGGGGGAGCAAACAGGAUUAGAUACCCUGGUAGUCCACGCCCCUAAACGAUGUCAACUGGUUGUUGGGAAUUUAUUUUCUCAGUAACGAAGCUAACGCGUGAAGUUGACCGCCUGGGAGUACGGCCGCAAGGUUA
rnacentral:rRNA from 1 species